rnacentral:rRNA from 1 species
GACGAACGCUGGCGGCGUGCUUAACACAUGCAAGUCGAGCGAUGAAACACCUUCGGGUGCGGAUUAGCGGCGAACGGGUGAGGAACACGUGAGGAAUCUGCCUUCCACUCUGGGAUAACUCCGGGAAACCGGGGCUAAUCCCGGAUACUUUCAACUGGCGGCAUCGCCGGUUGAAGAAAGUUUUUCGGUGGAAGAUGACCUCGCGGCCUAUCAGCUUGUUGGUGAGGUAAAGGCUCACCAAGGCGACGACGGGUAGCCGGCCUGAGAGGGCGACCGGGCACACGGGGCAUGAGACACGGCCCAGACUCCUACGGGGGGCAGCAGUGGGGAAUAUUGGGCAAUGGAGGAAACUCUGACCCAGCGACGCCGCGUGAGGGAUGAAGGCCUUCGGGUUAUAAACCUCUUUCAGCAGGGAAUAAGCGAAAGUGAAGGUACCUGCAGAAGAAGCACCGGCUAACUAUGUGCCAGCAGCCGCAGUAA